UCUGCUCUGUAACACGUGGAUAACCUACCCUUGGGACGGGUAUAAACCCGGGAAACUGGGUAUAAUUCCCGAUAGGUCUGGGAGGCUGGAAUGCAUUCAGAUUGAAAGCUCCGGCGCCCAAGGAUGGGUCUGCGGCCUAUCAGGUAGUAGUGGGUGUAACGUACCUACUAGCCUACUACGGGUACGGGUUGUGAGAGCAAGAGCCCGGAGAUGGAUUCUGAGACACGAAUCCAGGCCCUACGGGGUGCAGCAGGCGCGAAAACUUUACAAUGCGGGCAACCGCGAUAAGGGGACCUCGAGUGCCGGCAUCAAAUGUCGGCUGUCGUGAUGCCUAAAAAGCAUUACAUAGCAAGGGCCGGGCAAGACCGGUGCCAGCCGCCGCGGUAACACCGGCGGCUCGAGUGGUGACCGCUAUUAUUGGGUUUAAAGGGUCUGUAGCCGGCCGGAUAAGUCUCUUGGGAAAUCUGGCCGCUCAACGGUCAGGCUUUCAGGAGAUACUGUCUGGCUCGAGGCCGGGAGAGGUGAGAGGUACUUCAGGGGUAGGGGUGAAAUCUUGUAAUCCUUGAAGGACCACCAGUGGCGAAGGCGUCUCACCAGAACGGACCUGACGGCAAGGGACGAAAGCUAGGGGCACGAACCGGAUUAGAUACCCGGGUAGUCCUAGCCGUAAACGAUACUCGCUAGGUGUCGGCCACGGUGCGACCGUGGUCGGUGCCGCAGGGAAACCGUGAAGCGAGCCACCUGGGAAGUACGGCCGCAAGGCUGAAACUUAAAGGAAUUGGCGGGGGAGCAC
rnacentral:rRNA from 1 species